rnacentral:rRNA from 1 species
AUUGAACGCUGGCGGCAUGCCUUACACAUGCAAGUCGGACGAGUGGCGAACGGGUGAGUAAUAUAUGGGAACGUACCUAGUAAUGGGGGAUAACUAAUCGAAAGAUUAGCUAAUACCGCAUAUCAUUCGAUGGGCCCAUAUCUGAUUAGCUGGUUGGUGGGGUAAAGGCCUACCAAGGCGACGAUCCGUAGCGGGUCUGAGAGGAUGAUCCGCCACACUGGGACGGAGACACGGUCCAGACUCCGACGGGAGGCAGCAGUGGGGAAUAUUGGACAAUGGGCGCAAGCCUGAUCCAGCCAUGCCGCGUGUCUGAAGAAGGCCUUCGGGUUGUAAAGGACUUUUGGCAGGGAGGCGGUACCUGAAGAAUAAGCACCGGCUAACUACGUGCCAGCAGCCGCGGUAAUAC